UCCAAAUGAUGAUCAUUUUGUGCCAGAUUUUAAAUGAUGGUUAUGAUUUAAUGAGCCUGAUGG
rnacentral:snoRNA from 1 species